GACGUAGGGCGCAAGCGUUGUCCGGAUUUAUUGGGCGUAAGAGCUCGUAGGCGGCCUGUCGCGUCGACCGUGAAAACCCGCAGCUCAACUGCGGGCUUGCGGUCGAUACGGGCAGGCUGGAGUUCGGUAGGGGAGACUGGAAUUCCUGGUGUGAGCGGUGAAAUGCGCAGAUAUCAGGAGGAACACCGGUGGCGAAGGCGGGUCUCUGGGCCGAUACUGACGCUGAGGAGCGAAAGCGUGGGGAGCGAACAGG
rnacentral:rRNA from 1 species